rnacentral:misc_RNA from 1 species
UGUGGGAGCGAGCCUGCUCGCGAUGAGGUCGUGUCAGUCAAUGAUGAAUUGAUGACACCACGCUAUCGCGAGCAGGCUCGCUCCCACA